rnacentral:tRNA from 1 species
CCCAUAGCUCAGACGGUUAGAGCGCUGCCCUGAUAAGGCAGAGGUCGGUGGUUCAAGUCCACCUGGGCC